rnacentral:rRNA from 1 species
CCUACGGGUGGCAGCAGUAGGGAAUCUUCCACAAUGGGCGCAAGCCUGAUGGAGCAACACCGCGUGAGUGAUGAAGGGUUUCGGCUCGUAAAGCUCUGUUGUUGGAGAAGAACGUACGUGAGAGUAACUAUUCACGCAGUGACGGUAUCCAACCAGAAAGUCACGGCUAACUACGUGCCAGCAGCCGCGGUAAUACGUAGGUGGCAAGCGUUAUCCGGAUUUAUUGGGCGUAAAGCGCGCGCAGGCGGUUGCUUAGGUCUGAUGUGAAAGCCUACGGCUUAACCGAAGAAGGGCAUCGGAAACCGGGAAACUUGAGUGCAGAAGAGGAAAGUGGAAUUCCAUGUGUAGCGGUGGAAUGCGUAGAUAUAUGGAAGAACACCAGUGGCGAAGGCGACUGUCUGGUCUGUAACUGACGCUGAGGCUCGAAAGCAUGGGGAGCGAACAGGAUUAGAUACCCGAGUAGUC